GACGAACGCUGGCGGCGUGCCUAAUACAUGCAAGUCGAACGUGUGGCGGACGGGUGUGUAACACGUGGGAACCUACCCAUCAGAGGGGGAUAACUACUGGAAACGGUCGCUAAUACCGCAUACCAUCGGAUUUGCCCAGAGGGCAUUUGCUGGUGGGUGGGGUAACGGCUCACCUAGGGGACGAUCCCUAGCUGGUCUGAGAGGAGGACCGGCAACACUGGAACUGAGACACGGUCCAGAAUCCUACGGGAGGCAGCAGUGGGGAAUAUUGCACAAGGGGCGCAAGCCGGAUGCAGCCAGGCCGCGUGGAUGAAGAAGGACUUCGGGUUGUAAAGUACGUUCAGCGGGGAGGCGGUACUCGCAGAAGAAGCACCGGCUAACUCCGUGCCAGCCGCCGCGGUAAUUC
rnacentral:rRNA from 1 species